CCUUGACGCCCACAUUUUCGAUACAUGCAGUAGUGAUUUCGAGCGCUAAAUAACAACAUCUGUUUUACAUCUAUUCCGUAAUGAAUAUCCGAUUCCAAUUAUGUGUAAUAAUACUUAUGAUGCCAAGUAUGUGUGUUGCGCGAAAAUUAGUUCGGCGAAAUGCUGAUUACUUGAUUGGAUCUACGUUCACUUUCGGUGAGAGGCAAGUGGACGAUUGCCUUUAUUAUCAUCAAGAUUCACCUUGGCGAUGCUAUUCGGAGCAAGUGGGCGUUAACCCUGAUUGGUAGAAAAUUUGAUAUUA